ensembl:snRNA U6 U6 spliceosomal RNA
GUGCUCGCUUUGGCAGCAUAUAUACUAAAAUUGAAACAUACAGAGAAGAUUAGCAUGGUUCCUGUGCAAGGAUGACAUAUAAAUUCAUGAAGCAAUCCACUGAAAA